CGGACAAAGAUUGCAAACCGCCAGGGGGUGAUCUGCAGCUACAACCAUGUAAUCAGCCACUUAGAAUAGGGAUGUCGUGCCCGACCUAUCGUAAUCCCCAGUGUCAUGAUCGAUGGUACUAUGACAACAGCACUGGUACAUGCUAUGGAUUUUCGUAUGCUGGGUGCAGCGGAAAUAAAAACAAUUUUUUGACCCAGCAGGAAUGUGAAAAUCAAUGCAAGCCCAAAGGAGCCGCAUCAACCUCUUGAGCAGAAACAUCCAAGAAAUGAGGCUUUCUUUCUUUAUGUCUUAGUAGCCUAGAGAUAUGGAAAUAAAAUCUUUCCCAUCUGA